GUGUGUGGAACGCAAGCGUUCUGUUCGAAUGGCGAGCUACGUAGGCUGGACGUAUUUCAGAAAUACGACCGAUUUUAUCUCAACUAUAGCUAAACAUGCUGAAGUAUUCGUGUAACCUAUAAGAUCAUAUUACGUUAAUAUAAUUUUAUUAAAAUAUCUCAAUUUAGAAUUAUUGAAAAUGGGAAUGAUAUCAUCUGGUGGCCGUUGCCAUCCAUGCAGGAAAUUAAACAAGAAUGCAUCAGUUGUCAGAGGGAACAUCAGAAGUCGCUUAAAAGCAACGCUUCGUUACGCCUUCACAAUAACCUGAUUCAGACUGUGUCAAGGGAACGUAUAAAGCCAAAGUCAGAGAGGUGCAUCCAUGUAGGCAAGAAUGUCACACCUGCUGUUAAUAGUGAAAUAAAUAGCGUCUUUACACUUAGAAUCUCGACACUUUGCCUCUAUAUAUGUGUAAGAUAGAAUGUCCAUUUUUAUUGAUAACAUACGUACGUAAUAGCGAAAAUGGUAAGAGUCGUGGUUGAUUUCUGUUUAAGGAAAAAUCUUCAAACAAAAGAAUUCGGAUUCUAUUGUAUAUUUCUUUCCUUUAUUUAUACGACACGAAGAGCAUAUGCGAAAGACGUCUACAAAUAUAUUUGUGUUAGUAUUUUUUAUUUUAAUUUUCCUUAAUAGGUUUUGAUAAGAUGGGAUUGACUAUUGAACUUGAACAUCUUUUAUCAUGUUGUUUCGUCUGAUCUUCAUGUAAUAUAACAAGGGUAUACACUUAACGUAAAUCCCUCAAUAUUAUGUAUUUUCUUCUACAAUAUGAGAUUUGAAGGUACAUUUCCUGUGUUUUGAAGAACUAUAGAUAUAAGUUAACUUUCACAUUUUUAUUUCGAAUGUUAUAUAAACUAAAUUAAUAAAGUUGAAUUUGGUAUAA